UACGUAGGGGGCUAGCGUUGUCCGGAAUCAUUGGGCGUAAAGCGCGUGUAGGCGGUCCGGUAAGUCCGCUGUGAAAGUCGGGGGGCUCAACCCUCGAAUGCCGGUGGAUACUGUCGGGCUAGAGUGCGGAAGAGGCGAGUGGAUUCCUGGUGUAGCGGUGAAAUGCGCAGAUAUCAGGAGGAACACCAAUUGCGAAGGCAGCUCGCUGGGACGUAACUGACGCUGAGACGCGAAAGCGUGGGGAGCAAACAGG
rnacentral:rRNA from 1 species